GACGUAGGGCGCGAGCGUUGUCCGGAUUUAUUGGGCGUAAAGAGCUCGUAGGCGGCUUGGUUGCGUCAGCUGUGAAAAACCCGCAGCUCAACUGUGGGCUUGCAGCUGAUACGGGCAGGCUUGAGUUCGGUAGGGGAGACUGGAAUUCCUGGUGGUAGCGGUGAAAGUGACGCAGAUAUCAGGAGGAACACCGAUGGCGAAGGCAGGUCUCUGGGCAUUGAACUGACGCUGAGGAGCGAAAGCAUGGGGAGCGAACAGG
rnacentral:rRNA from 1 species